GACGAACGCUGGCGGCGUGCUUAACACAUGCCAGUCGAACGGAAAGGCCCUGCUUUUGCGGGGUGCUCGAGUGGCGAACGGGUGAGUAACACGUGAGUAACCUGCCCCUGACUUUGGGAUAACUUCAGGAAACUGGGGCUAAUACCGGAUAGGAGCUCCUGCUGCAUGGUGGGGGUUGGAAAGUUUCGGCGGUUGGGGAUGGACUCGCGGCUUAUCAGCUUGUUGGUGGGGUAGUGGCUUACCAAGGCUUUGACGGGUAGCCGGCCUGAGAGGGGGACCGGGCACAUGGGGACUAAGGGACGGACCAGACUCCAACGGGAGGCAGCAGUGGGGAAUAUUGCGCAAUGGGCGGAAGCGUGAUGCAGCAACGCCGCGUGCGGAAUGACGGCCUUCGGGUUGUGAACCGCUUUCGCCUGUGACGAGGCGUGAGUGACGGUAAUGGGUAAAGAAGCACCGGCUAACUACGUG
rnacentral:rRNA from 1 species